UAGGGAAUCUUCCACAAUGGACGCAAGUCUGAUGGAGCAACGCCGCGUGAGUGAAGAAGAUCUUCGGAUCGUAAAACUCUGUUGUUAGAGAAGAACACGAGUGAGAGUAACUGUUCAUUCGAUGACGGUAUCUAACCAGCAAGUCACGGCUAACUACGCGCCAG
rnacentral:rRNA from 1 species